GUCGUCUUCUUCGCCUGUCUACCCAAAAACCCUCGCCCUGAACAUAAAUGGAAACCAAGCAAAUUCUUUCACCACAAAUCUCACUCCAAGAAAAUCAUGGCCCAAAAUAGUACUGCUUGCAAUUUUAUCAUUUCAACCUCUUAAACCCAGUACUGAUUCAAACCCUUCUACGAUAAACAGAUCACCAAGAAAUAUAGUCUUCAAUGGCCGUGCAUGAAAGAUCCUACACAUUCAGUACUAACCUUUUGUAACAGUUAUAGAGAAGGCAUUUUUUGGUUUUUCUUGAAGAGAAUUGCCUAUACGAUUCAGAAGCUGAGGUUGAAAUAGUUGAUAUCAAUCUACCUCUUUAUAUAGAGGUAGAAUUCGAACAGGACUCAACCUAGAGAAACGAAGAGUCCUCAUUGGAACAAUGUCCUCAUUUAAAGGCCUUUAUUUUAAAUUUUAUUAAUAUCAGUUUGAAUUUGUAAUGUAUAAUGCUAUUUAUUAUCAGAUGAUAAAUGAUGUAGUUUAGAAUACCAAGAGUUCUUCAUUUAA